GGUCAUAUUUGACUGUAGUGUUCUAUGGCUUUGGUUUGAUACCUCACCCAAUAUGAUAGUUUAAAAAAAUAAUUUUAAAGUAUUGUCCUGCAUGACACUUGAUUUUUACCUGAAAUUGAUAUUUUUCAUAAGGUUAAGGUGCUCUCAACAUUUUAUAGGUUGAAAACUUGAUUUUUGAAGUUUUGUUUAUAUAACGUCGUUUUAGGAUUUUUUUUUAUAAAAAAAUCUCAAUGAUUAAGGUUUAUGUAUAAUAACAAACAUUACUAAAGCCAAAACAGUAUCAUUUGUAUUUAGGUAGAGUUUAGAAAUAGAAAAAAAUGUCAAAAUUGAAACCCACCCAAAUUUUCACAAAUUUUUACAUAUGACCUUUGACCUCAAUUUAAAAAAAAUGUGACCAUAUCAAGUCCUGACGACAGGCAUAUUAUUAUAGUACACGAUUUCCUCUUUCCAAUGAUAUAUUAUGUAGGUGUGUGUUCGGUGGGGAGAUUAAAUUCCAAAAAAUCUGCCUUCAGUCACCGCACUAAUAAUGU
rnacentral:lncRNA from 1 species